rnacentral:rRNA from 1 species
UACGUAGGUGGCGAGCGUUGUCCGGAUUUACUGGGCGUAAAGAGCGCGCAGGCGGUCGUUCAAGUCGCGUGUGAAAGCCCACGGCUCAACCGUGGAGGGUCAUUGGAAACUGGGGGACUUGAGUGCAGAAGAGGAAAGCGGAAUUCCACGUGUAGCGGUGAAAUGCGUAGAUAUCGGGAGGAACACCAGUGGCGAAGGCGACUUCCUGGCCUGUUCUUGACGCUGAGGCGCGAGAGCUAGGGGAGCAAACGGG